CCACCACCAAAGCAUUUGCUGUACCGCGUUGACGGAGCGAAGCGACGUCAAACCGAUAAAACAGCAGUGUAAAGUGAGCCGCAGGGCGCUUUGCGCGACAGCGCAAAGGCAGGCGGUUUCGCGUAGCGAAAGCGAAUGCUUUGGGGUGGGGUGACUGCGUACCUUUUGUAUAAUGGGUCAGCGACUUAUAUUCUGUAGCAAGGUUAACCGAAUAGGGGAGCCGGAGGGAAACCGAGUCUUAAUUGGGCGUUAAGUUGCAGGGUAUAGACCCGAAACCCGGUGAUCUAGCCAUGGGCAGGUUGAAGGUUGGGUAACACUAACUGGAGGACCGAACCGACUAAUGUUGAAAAAUUAGCGGAUGACCUGUGGCUGGGGGUGAAAGGCCAAUCAAACCGGGAGAUAGCUGGUUCUCCCCGAAAGCUAUUUAGGUAGCGCCUCGUGAAUUCAUCUCCGGGGGUAGAGCACUGUUUCGGCUAGGGGGCCAUCCCGGCUUACCAACCCGAUGCAAACUGCGAAUACCGGAGAAUGUUAUCACGGGAGACACACGGCGGGUGCUAACGUCCGUCGUGAAGAGGGAAACAACCCAGACCGCCAGCUAAGGUCCCAAAGUCAUGGUUAAGUGGGAAACGAUGUGGGAAGGCCCAGACAGCCAGGAUGUUGGCUUAGAAGCAGCCAUCAUUUAAAGAAAGCGUAAUAGCUCACUGGUCGAGUCGGCCUGCGCGGAAGAUGUAACGGGGCUAAACCAUGCACCGAAGCUGCGGCAGCGAACGUAUCACUUAAAGCGAUUCAGCGGGUUACGAUUGACGGAGCGAAGCGACGUCAAAGCGUAUACAAAGUCGAGUCGGUUUAAGGAUACGUU
rnacentral:rRNA from 1 species